rnacentral:rRNA from 1 species
GAUGAACGCUGGCGGCGUGCCUAAUACAUGCAAGUCGAGCGAACGGACGAGAAUCUUGCUUCUCUGAUGUUAGCGGCGGACGGGUGAGUAACACGUGGAUAACCUACCUAUAAGACUGGGAUAACUUCGGGAAACCGGAGCUAAUACCGGAUGAUAUUUUGAACCGCAUGGUUCAAAAGUGAAAGACGGUCUUGCUGUCACUUAUAGAUGUAUCCGCGCUGCAUUAGCUAGUUGGUAAGGUAACGGCUUACCAAGGCAACGGUGCAUAGCCGACCUGAGAGGGUGAUCGGACACACUGGAACUGAGACACGGUCCAGACUCCUACGGGAGGCAGCAGUAGGGAAUCUUCCGCAAUGGGCGAAAGCCUGACGGAGCAACGCGGCGUGAGUGAUGAAGGUCUUCGGAUCGUAAAACUCUGUUAUUAGGGAAGAACAUAUGUGUAAGUAACUGUGCACAUCUUGACGGUACCUAAUCAGAAAGCCACGGCUAACUACGUG